rnacentral:rRNA from 1 species
UACGUAGGGCGCAAGCGUUAUCCGGAAUUAUUGGGCGUAAAGAGCUCGUAGGCGGUUUGUCGCGUCUGCCGUGAAAGUCCGGGGCUCAACUCCGGAUCUGCGGUGGGUACGGGCAGACUAGAGUGAUGUAGGGGGAGACUGGAAUUCCUGGUGUAGCGGUGAAAUGCGCAGAUAUCAGGAGGAACACCAAUGGCGAAGGCAGCACUCUGGGACGUGACUGACGCUGAGACGCGAAAGCGUGGGGAGCAAACAGG